rnacentral:rRNA from 1 species
AUGGUGCCGCUAGCCGUGCCAAUGGAAAACAUGGUCGAGAUGGACCCAACGGCAGAGAGCGACGUGUACAGCUUCCGGGUGGUGCUGCUGGAGAUACUGGCCGGCCAGCGCCGACUAGACAGGAACCGACCAUCCGGUGAGCAAGACCUGUACUCCCUCGCUGGAGCGCAGAAGGCCGCCUCACUGGCGCUCAAGUGCCUGUCCAGCGACGUGAGUGCGUGUACGGGCAUGGAGCAGGUGGUGACAACCCUUGAGCAGCUCCAGGGCUCCAAGGAGACCACAGUGAGCGAUCAAGAAAUGGGGAGCGGCGGUGGCAGCUGUGGCUUCGUCGGAAAGUUUGGCCGUAGCCGGCAGCGGCAACCCUAG